rnacentral:rRNA from 1 species
UCCGUAGGGUGCGAGCGUUGUCCGGAAUUAUUGGGCGUAAAGAGCUCGUAGGCGGUCUGUCGCGUCUGCUGUGAAAACUCAGGGCUUAACCCUGAGCUUGCAGUGGGUACGGGCAGACUAGAGUGCGGUAGGGGAGACUGGAAUUCCUGGUGUAGCGGUGAAAUGCGCAGAUAUCAGGAGGAACACCGGUGGCGAAGGCGGGUCUCUGGGCCGUAACUGACGCUGAGGAGCGAAAGCAUGGGGAGCGAACAGG